rnacentral:rRNA from 1 species
GGUUAAGCGACUAAGCGUACACGGUGGAUGCCCUGGCAGUCAGAGGCGAUGAAGGACGUGCUAAUCUGCGAUAAGCGUCGGUAAGGUGAUAUGAACCGUUAUAACCGGCGAUUUCCGAAUGGGGAAACCCAGUGUGUUUCGACACACUAUCAUUAACUGAAUCCAUAGGUUAAUGAGGCGAACCGGGGGGAACUGAAACAUCUAAGUACCCCGAGGAAAAGAAAUCAACCGAGAUUCCCCCAGUAGCGGCGAGCGAACGGGGAGCAGCCCAGAGCCUGAAUCAGUGUGUGUGUUAGUGGAAGCGUCUGGAAAGGCGCGCGAUACAGGGUGACAGCCCCGUACACAAAAAUGCACAUGCUGUGAGCUCGAUGAGUAGGGCGGGACACGUGGUAUCCUGUCUGAAUAUGGGGGGACCAUCCUCCAAGGCUAAAUACUCCUGACUGACCGAUAGUGAACCAGUACCGUGAGGGAAAGGCGAAAAGAACCCCGGCGAGGGGAGUGAAAAAGAACCUGAAACCGUGUACGUACAAGCAGUGGGAGCACGCUUAGGCGUGUGACUGCGUACCUUUUGUAUAAUGGGUCAGCGACUUAUAUUCUGUAGCAAGGUUAACCGAAUAGGGGAGCCGAAGGGAAACCGAGUCUUAACUGGGCGUUAAGUUGCAGGGUAUAGACCCGAAACCCGGUGAUCUAGCCAUGGGCAGGUUGAAGGUUGGGUAACACUAACUGGAGGACCGAACCGACUAAUGUUGAAAAAUUAGCGGAUGACUUGUGGCUGGGGGUGAAAGGCCAAUCAAACCGGGAGAUAGCUGGUUCUCCCCGAAAGCUAUUUAGGUAGCGCCUCGUGAAUUCAUCUCCGGGGGUAGAGCACUGUUUCGGCAAGGGGGUCAUCCCGACUUACCAACCCGAUGCAAACUGCGAAUACCGGAGAAUGUUAUCACGGGAGACACACGGCGGGUGCUAACGUCCGUCGUGAAGAGGGAAACAACCCAGACCGCCAGCUAAGGUCCCAAAGUCAUGGUUAAGUGGGAAACGAUGUGGGAAGGCCCAGACAGCCAGGAUGUUGGCUUAGAAGCAGCCAUCAUUUAAAGAAAGCGUAAUAGCUCACUGGUCGAGUCGGCCUGCGCGGAAGAUGUAACGGGGCUAAACCAUGCACCGAAGCUGCGGCAGCGACACUAUGUGUUGUUGGGUAGGGGAGCGUUCUGUAAGCCUGUGAAGGUGUGCUGUGAGGCAUGCUGGAGGUAUCAGAAGUGCGAAUGCUGACAUAAGUAACGAUAAAGCGGGUGAAAAGCCCGCUCGCCGGAAGACCAAGGGUUCCUGUCCAACGUUAAUCGGGGCAGGGUGAGUCGACCCCUAAGGCGAGGCCGAAAGGCGUAGUCGAUGGGAAACAGGUUAAUAUUCCUGUACUUGGUGUUACUGCGAAGGGGGACGGAGAAGGCUAUGUUGGCCGGGCGACGGUUGUCCCGGUUUAAGCGUGUAGGCUGGUUUUCCAGGCAAAUCCGGAAAAUCAAGGCUGAGGCGUGAUGACGAGGCACUACGGUGCUGAAGCAACAAAUGCCCUGCUUCCAGGAAAAGCCUCUAAGCAUCAGGUAACAUCAAAUCGUACCCCAAACCGACACAGGUGGUCAGGUAGAGAAUACCAAGGCGCUUGAGAGAACUCGGGUGAAGGAACUAGGCAAAAUGGUGCCGUAACUUCGGGAGAAGGCACGCUGAUAUGUAGGUGAAGCGACUUGCUCGUGGAGCUGAAAUCAGUCGAAGAUACCAGCUGGCUGCAACUGUUUAUUAAAAACACAGCACUGUGCAAACACGAAAGUGGACGUAUACGGUGUGACGCCUGCCCGGUGCCGGAAGGUUAAUUGAUGGGGUUAGCGCAAGCGAAGCUCUUGAUCGAAGCCCCGGUAAACGGCGGCCGUAACUAUAACGGUCCUAAGGUAGCGAAAUUCCUUGUCGGGUAAGUUCCGACCUGCACGAAUGGCGUAAUGAUGGCCAGGCUGUCUCCACCCGAGACUCAGUGAAAUUGAACUCGCUGAAGAUGCAGUGUACCCGCGGCAAGACGGAAAGACCCCGUGAACCUUUACUAUAGCUUGACACUGAACAUUGAGCCUUGAUGUGUAGGAUAGGUGGGAGGCUUAGAAGUGUGGACGCCAGUCUGCAUGGAGCCGACCUUGAAAUACCACCCUUUAAUGUUUGAUGUUCUAACGUUGACCCGUAAUCCGGGUUGCGGACAGUGUCUGGUGGGUAGUUUGACUGGGGCGGUCUCCUCCUAAAGAGUAACGGAGGAGCACGAAGGUUGGCUAAUCCUGGUCGGACAUCAGGAGGUUAGUGCAAUGGCAUAAGCCAGCUUGACUGCGAGCGUGACGGCGCGAGCAGGUGCGAAAGCAGGUCAUAGUGAUCCGGUGGUUCUGAAUGGAAGGGCCAUCGCUCAACGGAUAAAAGGUACUCCGGGGAUAACAGGCUGAUACCGCCCAAGAGUUCAUAUCGACGGCGGUGUUUGGCACCUCGAUGUCGGCUCAUCACAUCCUGGGGCUGAAGUAGGUCCCAAGGGUAUGGCUGUUCGCCAUUUAAAGUGGUACGCGAGCUGGGUUUAGAACGUCGUGAGACAGUUCGGUCCCUAUCUGCCGUGGGCGCUGGAGAACUGAGGGGGCUGCUCCUGGUACGAGAGGACCGGAGUGGACGCAUCACUGGUGUUCGGGUUGUCAUGCCAAUGGCACUGCCCGGUAGCUAAAUGCGGAAGAGAUAAGUGCUGAAAGCAUCUAAGCACGAAACUUGCCCCGAGAUGAGUUCUCCCUGACUCCUUGAGAGUCCUGAAGGAACGUUGAAGACGACGACGUUGAUAGGCCGGGUGUGUAAGCGCAGCGAUGCGUUGAGCUAACCGGUACUAAUGAACCGUGAGGCUUAACCUU